UGUCCUCCAUUGUAAGAUAAAAAGAGCUACCUAAGAGAUCUGUGGCUCAGUUCCUUUUGUUCAGUAUAUAUACCUCAGGGUAAAGGACCUAAGGCUCUGGCACUUCCUACAUAAUUUGUUCAUAAAAAUAAUUUUCUGUACCUGUAGGUGCAGGGAUUCAUAGUGAUUUUUCUGUUUUAAAAAAUAUCUUUCUACACUGUCUGAUUUUUAAAAAUGAGAUUAUCAGUAUAAAAGAAAUACAGCUAUUUUGUAAAAGAAAAAUACAGGAGAAAAAGGAUAAAGCUACUUUGUUUUAAAACGCAGUAUCAUUAAAACAAAAACAAACCAAAUUUGUUCUAAGUUUGACUUUAGAGUCAGGAAACUUAAGCUUACAUUUUUGGUCUGCCAUCUAUUACUUUUAAAGCUUGGGCAAAUUAUUCAUUUGAAGUCUAAAUUUAUUAAUCUGUUAAUGGGAACAGAUUAGAAAUCUUCAGAGAAGCUCUAGCCUUUGUAACAUUGUGACUAUAAUGCUGAGAACUGCUUCACUCAUCCCAUUCAUAUUUUAAAAAUACUAAUAUUUUGUGUUUGAGCAUUUUAAUAGGCUCAGAAACUUAAAAAUGAUGUUUCUUUUCUAACAACAUACUCUUUUCAAUGGGAUAUUAUGGUUGUUAUUAUUUAACAUGACAUUUAGGGACUCAACAUACAUUAAGGUGAUGGCACUAAGAUAAAUGUAGAAAUAACCAGUACCAUGUAAUUUUCAUAAGUGCUUAAAUUGUUGGUAAACAAUUUUAUGAGUUGGAGGUGUUGAAGCAAAUAUUAUUAAUAUUUGAACAUAAAAGCUGAUCAAAGGGGCCUGGUCCACAGAAGAUGUUUAUUUGAUGUAACAAAACAAUACAGUUAGUGUUAGAUCCAACCACAAAGAGCAAAAGGAAUGAAAAAUUUGUACAAUGUACAUAGAAAAAACAAGAUAUUUACUGUGACAACUAUAUAUUCCUAAAAUAAUGCUUCUAAAAUUACUCAAUUAUUGAAAUCUACAUGAAAAAAAGGAUGUUAAUAGCGACAAAGUGCAUAAAAUCAAACAUUGUAUUUUGAGCAAAUUAACAUACUAGGCAAUUUUGCUAAGAAUGCAUGAUUUUUUUUUUCUUGUUUACAGUCUGCUCAAAAUAUCUUUAUACCAACAGGGUAGGCAGAACAUUUAGGUUUAAUAUCAGUUACACAAUAUUAGCAUAAACUUCCACAACUACAUAGGGUAUUGUUUUCUUUUGAGCUGGCAAAGUGACUAUAGAAACAUCAGAUGAUUUCUCUGAAUUGAGAAUUUUAUCCAAAUAAAUGCCACAUACCUUCUAGAUAUAUGCAUAUCUUUCUAUAUUAUGUAAAUGGCUUUACCCAUUUAAAUAAUAAACCAUACAGCAUUUAAGAAUCAUUAUUAUAUGAUUAACAAUGUCAUGUUCCAGGUUUAACAAUUUCAUAGGCCAAAAAAAAUUUCUUCUUAAAAACUAGUUUUAUAAACGCAGAAUAUAUUCCAUGAGUAACUGCUGGUAUUUUUUAAGAAAAUAUAUUGUGCAAUUGUGGCUACCACGUACUGCUGGCAAAGCAUUAUUAUUUAUGUAAAAUGUGAAAAAAAAGGUGUAAAAAUUUUUCAACUGCCUAUGAUCAUGAUGAAAGGUUACUGCCUUCUUACAAAAAUUAUAUUGGCAUCUUCUUAAAAAUAAUUCGAAAAAGGGAUAAACUCCCUAGCCAAAAAUAAAUAAAUAAAAAGGUGCAUUUUUUAAAAUGAUGCUACUGCAAUGCAAUGGUUUAAAUACCAAAAAACUGAGAAAAUGAGCUGUCUGUGAUCCAGCAUUAAAGAACAUACUAAAAAAGAGCAUUAAUGUAAAUUAAGUAGAAAGGGGAUCAAAAUUGAACUAACCAAGUUUGUGCAGUAUUGUAGCCAGGCUUCUAAAAUUAGAUGUAGAAAAUAUAAAUAGACUGCUUUAGGUAAUGAGCCACCAGUGUCCAAAAAAAGGAAUGAAAUUAAGAAAAAGCUCAGUUAACUUGAUCCAAAGCUCUGAGUAAUUCUUCACCCUGCAGUA
rnacentral:lncRNA from 1 species